UAUAUUUCUUCGGGUCAAAAGAAAUUUCUUAUUACGCCGCGAGGAAAAAGCGCACGGGUUAGGAGAAAAGCCAUCGUUCUCAGAAUCAAUCAGAUCGAUCUCUUAACCCUAGCUUGCAACCAUGUCUUCAAAGCAAGGUGGAAAGGCAAAGCCUUUGAAGCAGCCAAAGGCUGAUAAGAAAGAGUACGACGAGGCUGACAAGGCUUUCCUUCAGAAAAAGAAGGAUGAGGAAAAGGCACUUAAGGAUCUCAAGGCAAAAGCUCAAAAGGGAGCAUUAGGAGGUGCAGGACUGAAGAAAAGUGGCAAGAAGUGAUAAACACGAUGUCCAACAAAAUCAUUGAAAGACUUAUUGUGUAUGGCUGGUUUAGAUGUGUUGUUCUUCAAGUUGUUAUAGAUUGCAUGUUUGACUUCACUAAGACCUAUCCUUCAUGAAACUGAAAGAACAUUUCUGCAAUGCUUCCUUUGAAUAUGAAAGUUGUGUUAGUUUUGCUCAUAAUGUCAAUAAUUCAUGAUUUCCUCGUAAA